rnacentral:rRNA from 1 species
ACUCGUGGCGAAUAGCUCAGUAACACGUGGCCAAACUACCCUUCGGAACACAAUACCCUCGGGAAACUGAGGCUAAUAGUGUAUCCCAUACCACCACUGGAAUGAGUGGUAUGCCAAACGCUCCGGCGCCGAAGGAUGUGGCUGCGGCCGAUUAGGUAGACGGUGGGGUAACGGCCCACCGUGCCAAUAAUCGGUAUGGGUCAUGAGAGUGAGAACCCAGAGACGGAAUCUGAGACAAGAUUCCGGGCCCUACGGGGCGCAGCAGGCGCGAAACCUUUACACUGCACGACAGUGCGAUAGGGGGAUCCCAAGUGCACAGGCAUAGCGCCUGUGCUUUUCGGUACCCUAAGGCGGUACCAGAAUAAGGGCUGGGCAAGACCGGUGCCAGCCGCCGCGGUAAUACCGGCAGCCCAAGUGAUGGCCGAUCUUAUUGGGCCUAAAGCGUCCGUAGCUGGCCGCGCAAGUCCAUCGGGAAAUCCACCUGCUCAACAGGUGGGCGCCCGGUAGAAACUGCGUGGCUUGGGACCGGAAGGCGCGACGGGUACGUCCGGGGUAGGAGUGAAAUCCCGUAAUCCUGGACGGACCGCCGAUGGCGAAAGCACGUCGCGAGAACGGAUCCGACAGUGAGGGACGAAAGCCAGGGUCUCGAACCGGAUUAGAUACCCGGGUAGUCCUGGCCGUAAACAAUGUCUGCUAGGUGUGGCUCCCACUACGAGUGGGUGCUGUGCCGUAG